CUGCUUCAUGUUUGGCUGGUUGGUGAAUAUUACAUUAUACCAUGGAGGAUAAUGUCUCCAGGGACAGUGCUUCAUGGACUGACUUUGAACACAAGCAUGUAUGGAUAUAAACAUAUGGACGCCUCACGCCAGCCUCCACCUUCCUUCCCUCUUCCAAGAUGUUGUGUUGUCUCCGUCAUUAAACAGGAUGUUGGACCCAGAAUUCGAGGCGAGACGGACAGCGGGAAAAUUCAAAGGUGUUUAUUAAAACAAUAACUGAAGCGGCUGUGCACCAUCCAUCACUGGAUACUGCAGUGGAGAAAAACACAGGCUCACCUGAGGUAGGCGUGUCCACCUGCAGGAUGUCGCCUGUCUGUCUCUAUAUAUGCUGAUGACUGGAUGAUUGCAGAGGACAGCUGCUUUCACACCAGAGGAGGAAACACUGCGUUCUAAGGAUAAGCCUGAGGAGAGCAGUCUGUUUCCAGACAACAGAAAUAUGACGACAUCCAGCAGCAUCAUAACAGAUGAGCUGCUACAGCAGCAGCAUUAAUAGUAACUGGAGAUGCUGGGAAUGAGAUCAAACUCUGCUGCAGGAAGAAGAACAGAAAUACUGGAU